rnacentral:rRNA from 2 species
AGUCGUAACAAGGUCUCCGUAGGUGAACCUGCGGAAGGGAUCAUUACACAAU